rnacentral:lncRNA from 1 species
GGGAGAAUAAGUUCUUCUAUGGACAGGUGUAAUAGAACAAGCCCUAAGGACAACUAGAUACACUUUCUCCAUAUGAUACGAACAGCCAGCCAAUCAGUAAAGGACAUUUGUCCUCUCAUUAACUCCACAUUCAAGGCAAAUGUUCCUAUCCGUUAUCCCGACAAAAAGGAAGUCUCUUCCCCGUCAAUUUUAUCUAUAAGUACCUCGAAGCUCAUUCACUGCACAGAUCGCCCACCAAAUACUCUUAAUAUACACUAAGAUGUCCAUUAUCAAGCAUGAUUGAAGAUACAGGAUCUACAAUUAUGGCACUUAACCCAGCCAAAAGACAACAAUACUAACUUUGAGCAAUGAAAGCCCAGUUAUGUCCCAGAUAUAUACAUGCCAAUAAGUAAUGAAUGAUCAUGUGUGAGCGCAUACAUAAAGAAAUUAAUGAGAUGAACGAAGAAAAAUAAGAUGUCAAUUAUCCAAUACAAUCAAUAAUCUCAGUAUCAUCACACAAAAUAUUCACAGGUGGUUUGCUCAGACCAUAAAAGUAACCAUGGUCCAUUUCUUUGGGCUAGUAAACAGAAGAAAAGGAAGUCAUCCCUUGACGCAACAUUAAAUGGAUUGCUGACUAUGUGAAGCAUCCAUGAAACUUAACAUUUACCAGAAAACUUCAGAAGACAGAGCAUAAGAUCUUUGCUGGCAAUGGUAUCUCAGUAUUCUCAUUUUUUAUCCACUGCCAUAUGGUAGAGGUUCCCUAUCACAUCAAAGGGCAGUUGAUGAAAGAAAUGAACGGAUUCGCUGCAGCAGCUCUGCUUUUACCUUAUCAGGAACAGAAGCUGCAUAAACAAAGAGAUGCUUAUUUAAUUCCGAUGUAUAAAGCAAAGCUUUACAAAAAUUAUCAGCAAGGACAGCGCACACAGAUAUUUUGAGUUAGGGGGUCAAAAUCAAGACGGGUAACAUAGACUUAACUUUUGGAGAAGUUGUACUGCCUUCAUUACCACCCACACCUCGAUCCAUUUGAAGAAACUGAGAAAAUGUAUAAAAUCGCACCCCUGGGUUUUUUUUUUUUUUUUUUGUGUGGGGGGGGGGGGUGCAUAAUGUUGGUUUUAUAUCUGUAUAAAAUCAGAGAAAUUAAAUCUGUUUUUUGAAUUUGGGGGCUUUGGGUUUAUAUAUGUAAUCAAUAAGAAAAAAAGUGGGGCUCUGGUUUUAUAUAAAAUUAGAGAAAUUUAUCUCUGUUCUAUUCUUGUUUUUCUAUUAAAAAAAAAUGCCAAGAAGAUGUAAAGUAUUCUAAGAUUUAAUAAGCAUGUAGGCUGGGACAAGCUACUAGGAUCAAAACAGAUUACUUCUGAAAAUUUUUCAAAUCUGAGUGCAUAGCAAGUAGAACUGAAGAAAUAUCUUCUCAGCCACAAACUGGAGCUGCCUUAUAACUUAUGCAAAGAAGAAUAUACAGAUGAAUACAUAAAUGAAAGCUGCCUCCCAAAUUCAAUUCGCUGUUUUAAUAGAAUUUUGCAACACAUCCCAACAAACUGAUCAAGUAUUAAUGCCUCAUGAACAUUCCAGUUCAAGGUAGGAGCCUAAACAACUGAACCAAGUUUCCAUAAAGCACUUUAUUUACUAAAGAUAAAGCAUCAUGUAAAAGAUGAAAAUAAAUGAUACUGAAUUUAAACAUCAAAAUCAAGCAGAAUGUAACAACAAAUAGAUUGAAAAAUGAAACAAGAAAGAAGAUAGAUAAGAGGAAAAAAGCAACCCUUAUUAAAGAAGAACCUACAAACAAAAAUAAAGCAGCAAAAACAGAGACCCAAACUGUGUUAUAUGAUUCUCUGAAGAAAAUUAAUCUAAAUCCAAACACAUUAAGAGAAAAAAGCCACUCUUAAUUAAGUUAUAAGUUAAUAUAACACAUUUCCAAUCCAAAUUACCCAGUUUCCAUUUUCUAUAACAAAAGGCAAAAACCCACAAAAAAAUGGUAAUUAAACAUACGUGUAAUAUCAGAUCUGCUUCUUUAGACUCGUAAACAUUGGGUUCAGGAGCCCCAUUAUUAUCAGGAUCCAUCAUGUAAAAUGCCUCUGGAUCUCUAGACCCUAAAAUUCUUUCAAAUUUAGCUCUCAUAUACAUGAUUUCACCAUCAUGUAAUGGUAGCAGGCAGCAGCCAAAUGUCUGACAUGUCACGAAGUGAUGGGUUAAGAAUCUAAUUUAUGUACUGGGUGAUUAGAAACAAUGCGAGUAAAAUGUAGCAUGAGAUUGUGUGAUACAAAGAAAAAUAUUCUACAUUUUAGCUAGAAAACGAACUAUAAUUACGUGAGACAACUCUUUCAGAUUCUUCAUCCAAGUUUUAUUUACAUGCACGCAUCCUUAGUAGGUUGCAACUCAAUAUGUAGAAUGAAGCAUUUCUUUUUAAAGCCUUUGUGGCCAACACAAAAGCAGCAUUUCUUUUGACAGUCACCACUUCUCAACUCUCUCAUAGUGAGUAUGAUUUCCGGUAUACAUUAAGAAAAAUAUUUCUCUGAUUAAAGAGAAACAAAAUCAAUUAAUAAAAUUAACAAAAACAUUUCAGAAAAAAGCUAUGUCCAUUCACUAUCUAAACUGGUAAUGACAAGAUGCAAAACAUGCAAGUUCAAUCAAUUAAGCACCAUAUGUUAUGGUUAUAAAAGCAUUCAUCUUCUCCAAGCGUUGCCACGAGAAUAAAUCUUUUAAUCUGUAUAACAUAGUGGGAGAGUCGAUUAUCGGCAAGCGCAUAAGGUGAUUGCUCUCAGACCCCAAAAACACAGCCCUAUAAAAACAACCAUUUAACACUCCCUUGGCAAAAAUUGUCAAUGUAAAAAUGUACCAAUCAAAUUUUGUAUUUACUUAUUUUAAGAGCAUGUCAAUUAUUACAGAUUAUAAAAAAUAUGAAAUACUAUUUAUAAUAAACCUGUUCCAACAUUGAGAUCUGUCAAAAAGAAGAGAUGUUGCAACAACACAAGUACUGUUGUAAAUAUGAAUUCUAAAUAAAGUUGAGAAAUUUAAACAAUAGAUCAAUAAGUGUUUGAUGAAUUCAUAACUAAGUGAACGAAACUACCUCUUCCCUUUGGGGUAAUGACAUGAACAAGGUCAUCCACACUUACACUUUUUCUUCCCUUAUUCCUUGCAUGUGCCCUUGUAAAAAUAUUGCAGACAGGUUUUCCAAGUAAUCAAGGCAUUAUGAGCUUGGAUAGAGUCAAGCAAAUCUUGUGAGGACUAUACCCCAUAAAAUGGGGAGCAAGACACGUUGUGCAUGCUGACCAUAUAAGAUUCAUCAUAACCCGUUACUCCAUCCAAACAGUACCUUCUCUUUGAUUUGUCAAAAACUCCAAUUUAUUAUUAUUUUUUUUUUUAUCUUAAUACUAAUCACAAGCAUACAUAAUUCAAAUUAAAAGAAUGAUAUAUUAUGUAUCUGAGCAUUCGAACUCUCCACUAAAUUUUUCUUAAGUCCAUAAAUUGGUAUUCACUAUAUAUUGGCAUAACUGAUUUUGAAUCAAUUAUUCACAAAUUCAUCAAGCUUUCAUCAAAAUUCCCAACAUGGAUGAGUUAUCAGGAUCAAUUCAAAAAAAAAAAGUUCUGUACAAAGUUUUAAUUAAUCUCAAUAAUUUGAAGAACUCAAACCUAAACAUUCCUUCCAAUAAAGCAGUUCUUCAAAUUAAACCAACUAUAUUAUCAAACGCAAACUGCAGAAAAAAUUAAUCAAAAACCUGCAAAGAGCUUUCAUUUCAUCUCUCCAACCGCAUUCGAUAAGUCUUUCCCUCAAAAGCUCCUUCAACCGUUCUUUUUCUCCACUCAUUGCAUAAGCAACCAUAUCAAUUAAUCAAGUCAUAUUACUAAUGCUCCAAGAACUGAUACUUCUCUAAAUUAAAAGGCCAUAAUAGUUAAAUGCACACGCAAUAAAAAUAAAAAUAAAAAUAAUAGUAAUGAUGAUGAUGAUCACUUUAAUAUUGAUAAUU